rnacentral:rRNA from 1 species
UCCAGACUCCUACGGGAGGCAGCAGUGGGGAAUAUUGGGCAAUGGGCGCAAGCCUGACCCAGCAAUGCCGCGUGAAGGAAGAAGGCUUUCGGGUUGUAAACUUCUUUGACAGGGGAAGAGCAGAAGACGGUACCCUGAAAACAAGCCACGGCUAACUACGUGCCAGCAGCCGCGGUAAUACGUAGGUGGCAAGCGUUGUCCGGAUUUACUGGGUGUAAAGGGCGUGUAGCCGGGAAGGCAAGUCAGAUGUGAAAUCUGGAGGCUCAACCUCCAAAUUGCAUUUGAAACUGUUUUUCUUGAGUACUGGAGAGGCAGACGGAAUUCCUUGUGUAGCGGUGAAAUGCGUAGAUAUAAGGAGGAACACCAGUGGCGAAGGCGGAUGACUGGACGGCAACUGACGGUGAGGCGCGAAAGCGUGGGGAGCAAACAGGAUUAGAUACCCUCGUA